UACAGAGGGUGCGAGCGCUGUUCGGAAUUAUUGGGCGUAAAGCGCUUGUAGGCGGCACGUCAAGUCGCGUGUGAAAUCCCCAGGCUUAACCUGGGAAGUGCGCGCGAAACUGACGAGCUUGAGUGCCGGAGAGGGUCGCGGAAUUCCCGGUGUAGAGGUGAAAUUCGUAGAUAUCGGGAGGAACACCAGUGGCGAAGGCGGCGACCUGGACGGACACUGACGCUGAGACGCGAAAGCGUGGGGAGCAAACAGG
rnacentral:rRNA from 1 species